GAUUCACAGACAUGCAGAUUGAAAACCUGCAUGUUUGUGGCC
rfam:Xiphophorus maculatus strain JP 163 A Contig2332.2, whole genome shotgun sequence.